CUCCUUUGACGUUAGCGGCGGACGGGUGAGUAACACGUGGGUAACCUACCUAUAAGACUGGGAUAACUUCGGGAAACCGGAGCUAAUACCGGAUAAUAUUUCGAACCGCAUGGUUCGAUAGUGAAAGGUGGUUUUGCUAUCACUUAUAGAUGGACCCGCGCCGUAUUAGCUAGUUGGUAAGGUAACGGCUUACCAAGGCGACGAUACGUAGCCGACCUGAGAGGGUGAUCGGCCACACUUGAACUGAGACACGGUCCAGACUCCUACGGGAGGCAGCAGGU
rnacentral:rRNA from 1 species